CUCGUUGUGCGACCAACGAUAGCCUAGGAAAACAUGCGUCAUUGGCGACGAUGAGGUAUGAAGCUUUUCUAACAACGUAGCCCCUGAAAAGGUCUGCAGCCACCGUGAGGGGUUGUAGAGAUGCUCGGAGCUGAACCGGGUUGAGGCG
rnacentral:ncRNA from 1 species